AGUACUGAUACAGAGGCUUGAAGGGCUGGAGAUGCUCUGGAGAGGAAACUGUCAGCUCUUGAAGAGCAAAGGGCUUCACAGGCAGAAUGAGAUGCAGCAGCAACAUGACCCAGACCUGUAAAUAUCUGGAGGAGAAGAGAUCAUGGGAAGAGGUGUUGAUGCAAACCCCAGGGCAAAAAGCCAGCUGUGCUGAACAGCAGUAACAAUGUGUCUAGAUCCACCCAAAACCCCAAAGCCAAAUCAGCUUUGGGAUGGAAUAGAGGAAUUUCAUUUUUCCUCACUUUCACUGCUGGGACAGACAGCCUUCCUCCCUUAUGAGUGUGGUCCCACAAAGAAUUUCAUUAAGAAGUGGGAGAGAGCAGUGGAUUGCUGUGCUGGGGUUAAUCCUCCAGGCAGAAGAGUCCUCCAGCCAGAAGGAGAGGAUUUCUUCAGCCAGGAUUGCACCAAGGCAAACGUGUUGUAGAACUGUACCUUCCAACAUGCAGAAUUAUGACUUCCCUCCCUGGCUCAAAGUCAGAACCAGGUCUCUCAGGGUCUCCAUUUGCUAUUCUGUUCUCUAGAUCCUCAUAGCCUUCAUUUUAAAAAUUAUUGUAGGCAAG